UCCAUCUAAAAUCAAGCUAUUUUUAAAACACAAAACACAGAAAUCUAUGUAAAAUAAAUUUGAUUCUAUAAUACAUUCACUUAUAAAUAUGAAAAGAAUUGAACAAAAAAUGGAAGGGCGAAAGACAAAUAUAUCCCCAACGGUAUUGUGCAAAGGAAUUAGGAAUGUUAAAGAGUGAAAGUUAGUUAGAAAUGGCGGGAAGAUUAAGACGGAGCGGUGAUCAGCUACAGAUGCACCAGAUGCAGCUGGCUCAUCCUAAAGGUUGGAUGGAUCAACAUGCAGCAGCUGUAGUCAUAAUAACACGUGUCAUCCAUCCAUCUCAACACUAGUCGAUCCGACGGCUGACACAAUUCUUGAAAAGGACUGAAGCGGAUUAUUAAAACUCCCCAAAUAAAACAAUCACAAACAACAUUUCAAGAAUCAAGAAAGCUUUUCCCGAUUCAAUAAUCAUUAAUCAACCAAAACUUUCCUUCUUUUUCCCUGACUUCAAAAACCCACCAAACGUUGAUAAAAAUGCCAAACGUUGAUAAAAAUGGAAAUCCUCCAUCAUUCCACUGCAGUAAGUGUGAGAAAAAGGUCUUCACGAUGGACCAAUUGAAUAAACACCAUGCUUCUGCUCACCCGCCUCAGCCUGUUAAAAAGACCACCAAAAAUUAGGUUUUCUUUCUUUAUGUUUUUUAGUGUUUUCAUUCCUUUUUUGAGUACCUUUUGCCAUUUCAAGAAUUAAGAAACCACCAUAACCUUCCCCCUUUAAUUUUCUUUCUUCACCAAAUCUUCAAGAAAAUGAAUAUGAACGUAUAUCACGAGAAUCAGACAGUUGAGAUCUUUGAAGGGCCGCUUUUUGGGUCGUACUGGCCAGCCACGGUUCUCUCUAGAGAAAAAGGUCACCGCUUUAACGAUGAUGACUCGCCGCUGACUGAGGUGGUUCAUGUUAGAGUUAUAAGGUCGAUUCCACCGGAAUUUGUAUGUCAUCGGAACUUUGAGUUGAAUGAUAUAGUCGACAUCGGGGCUUGGCAGGCAGGGACAGUUAUCUGAAAUGUUGAGAAUCUUGAUCAUCACCUUGUGAGGCUGUUUGAUCAGACCGAACGGUUAGCUCCUUAUAUCAGGUUUCAUGCCGAGCGGUUUCCUCUUCCUUGCUAUGUGUUUUGGAGGCCAACCAAUGAAUAUACUCAUAAUCCAGUAACUGAUCCUCAACCCAGCGCCACAGAUUGAUAAUCUACCAAACCAGGGCCACUGAUUGAUGAAGAACAUAUUAUGGUUGUUUGAAACUUUGCAGGUUCUGCUACUAUUUUGAUUAGUAGACUUAAUAUGAAACUAUAUUGUUUUGCUAAAUAGUUAAUUAGGAAUUUGGCAUGUUAAAUUGUGAUUAAAUGCCUAAACCAAAAACAUUAUUCAUGUUUCUACUCUGAUAUGUUGCUAAUACUAGCUAUUACUAUUGUUUGAAUAAUGAUACAAGUGGACACUGUGGACUGUA